rnacentral:rRNA from 2 species
ACGGGGUGCAGCAGGCGCGAAACCUUUGCAAUGUGCGCAAGCACGACAAGGUUAAUCCGAGUGUUUCCUGCUAAAGGAAUCUUUUGUUAGUCGUAAAACCACUGAUGAAUAAGGGGUGGGCAAGUUCUGGUGUCAGCCGCCGCGGUAAAACCAGCACCUCAAGUGGUCAGGAGGAUUAUUGGGCCUAAAGCAUCCGUAGCCGGCUCUGCAAGUUUUCGGUUAAAUCCAUUUGCUUAACAAAUGGGCUGCCGGAAAUACUACAUAGCUAGGGAGUGGGAGAGGUAGACGGUAUUCGGUAGGAAGGGGUAAAAUCCUUUGAUCUAUUGAGGACCACCUAUGGCGAAGGCAGUCUACCAGAACACGUUCGACGGUGAGGGAUGGAAGCUGGGGGAGCAAACCGGAUUAGAUACCCGGGUAGUCCCAGCUGUAAACGAUGCAGACUCGGUGAUGCACUGGCUUGUGGCCAGUGCAGUGCCGCAGGGAAGCCGUUAAGUUUGCCGCCUGGGAAGUACGUACGCAAGUAUGAAACUUAAAGGAAUUGGCGGGGGAGCAC